AAUAGUUCUUUAGUGAUGCUCCUGAAAUUCAUAGAAUUUCAACUACGAAAUUCAGCAGCAUCACUCUAGAUCUCAU
rnacentral:pre_miRNA from 1 species